rnacentral:sRNA from 1 species
CUUGGUCAUUUAGAGGAAGUAAAAGUCGUAACAAGGUUUCCGUAGGUGAACCUGCGGAAGGAUCAUUACCGAAGUACAGGCCCUCUUGUAGGGCUACACUUCCACCCUUUGUUUACCAUACUAUGUUGCUUUGGCGAGACGUCUUCGGACCACCGGCCCUUGGGCCGGUGCGCGCUCGCCAGAGAAAACCCAAACCCAAACCAUUUUAAGUGUCGUCUGAAAAACAAGUUUAAUUAUUAAAACUUUCAACAACGGAUCUCUUGGCUCUGGCAUCGAUGAAGAACGCAGCGAAAUGCGAUAAGUAAUGUGAAUUGCAGAAUUCAGUGAAUCAUCGAAUCUUUGAACGCACAUUGCGCCCCUUGGUAUUCCGGGGGGCAUGCCUGUUCGAGCGUCAUUUCACCACUCAAGCCUCGCUUGGUAUUGGGCAACGCGGUCCGCCGCGUGCCUCAAAUCGACCGGCUGGGUCUUCUGUCCCCUAAGCGUUGUGGAAACUAUUCGCUAAAGGGUGUUCGGGAGACUACGCCGUAAAACAACCCAAUUUCUAAGGUUGACCUCGGAUCAGGUAGGGAUACCCGCUGAACUUAAGCAUAUCAAUAAGCGGAGGAAAAGAAACCAACAGGGAUUGCUCUAGUAACGGCGAGUGAAGCAGCAAUAGCUCAAAUUUGAAAUCUGGCGUCUUCGACGUCCGAGUUGUAAUUUGUAGAGGAUGCUUCUGAGUAACCACCGACCUAAGUUCCUUGGAACAGGACGUCAUAGAGGGUGAGAAUCCCGUAUGCGGUCGGAAAGGUGCUCUAUACGUAGCUCCUUCGACGAGUCGAGUUGUUUGGGAAU